CGUAGGGUGCAAGCGUUAAUCGGAAUUACUGGGCGUAAAGCGUGCGCAGGCGGUGAUGUAAGACAGAUGUGAAAUCCCCGGGCUCAACCUGGGAACUGCAUUUGUGACUGCAUUGCUGGAGUGCGGCAGAGGGGGAUGGAAUUCCGCGUGUAGCAGUGAAAUGCGUAGAUAUGCGGAGGAACACCGAUGGCGAAGGCAAUCCCCUGGGCCUGCACUGACGCUCAUGCACGAAAGCGUGGGGAGCAAACAGGAUUAGAUACCCUGGUAGUCCACGCCCUAAACGAUGUCAACUGGUUGUUGGUCCUUUGCUGGAUCAGUAACGAAGCUAACGCGUGAAGUUGACCGCCUGGGGAGUACGGCCGCAAGGUUG
rnacentral:rRNA from 1 species